AUAAAGACUUCUGACCCUCUGAAAUCCGGCUGAUAAUAGACGACGCCAACAAGCUGCCAAUUACCAAACUUUGGAGAGGGCGGUCCUUCCCGCACAGAAACAAGAAAAUGGAGUUGAUUUGAUUUUCAUUACUGAGCAGAAAUGGCCCGACAUGCAGGCGGGACUGAACCGGUUCAGAGCGUCUGGUCUAAGGCAGCGGUGCGUUCACGGCUCACGGGAGCGGCAGAAACGGCAGUUUCAACGUUAACUCAAAGGCCCAGAUGAAAUCUGAGGUCCUGCGGCGGGAUUUGAGCGACUGGGAUGGCGGUCUGGCAGCAGUGAGAUUUGAGCGGCAGGGCGCCAUUUUGGGUGGGAGUUCAAAUGUUUCAACUUUGGUGAAGUCGCCACGUCACAUCAACCAAUCAGGGACUCAACUUUGGUCACGUGACGCUUUCAGAGACGGGGAGAAUACACUGAACGUCCCAAGCUGGGAUCAAUAAACAGAUCAAAUAUCUUUAUCUUAUCUACGUCCAAUAUGGUGGAUCGAUCCAAUAGUUCUCCUGAACUUCCAUCCAUUUCAUGGACAAUAACCAGCUGGAACUGUCUCUCACUUGUUUACACACUGGGCUAAGGGGUAUUUAUUUAUUAUUAUUAUUAUUAUUAUUAUUUGUAAAUGUGAAGUAUGGAGUACAGAUGCUUUAAACGCAAUUUUGUUGUUUCUCUGUGACAAUGACAAUAAAAUUGAAUUGAAUUGAACCCGCUGUAUCCCUUUCGUGGCAGUGGCGUUCCCGGCUGCUGUUAGAUGAAGUUGGAUUCGCCGGCGGUUGAUGGACCGACCCCGGGAGGCGAGCUCGCAGACAGACAGAGAGCCGCUGUGGCUUUGGGGAGGCAGCCUGUUCAGCCCUUCUGAACCUGAUAUUUUUUCUCAUUUUCAUCAAAUAAAAAUGUGUAUUAAUGCGGUAAAACCUGUAAACUCAGUCAGAGAGAAAUGAAAGACCGUGGAAGCCGACGCCUUUCAGACUCAGGUUUUGCUGUAGUAGUGAAGCUCUCUCAACAGAGACAAUCUCUGAUGAUCUGAUGAACCUAAACAUGGAGACGGGAGGAUUUUGUUGAACUCUUUACAAUAAAUAAACCUAAAUAAACA